ACGCAGCCCGACUUGAGCGGAAAUCCUUUUUUGCCAUCCUGAUUUUUCUAUUUUAGCCGAAAUGUUCUGCAAAAAAGAUUGGGAGUGGAAGGCGGAUUAAGC
rnacentral:sRNA from 1 species